rnacentral:rRNA from 1 species
GAUGAACGCUGGCGGCGUGCCUAAUACAUGCAAGUCGAGCGAACAGACGAGGAGCUUGCUCCUCUGACGUUAGCGGCGGACGGGUGAGUAACACGUGGAUAACCUACCUAUAAGACUGGGAUAACUUCGGGAAACCGGAGCUAAUACCGGAUAAUAUAUUGGACCGCAUGGUUCAAUAGUGAAAGACGGUUUUGCUGUCACUUAUAGAUGGAUCCGCGCCGCAUUAGCUAGUUGGUAAGGUAACGGCUUACCAAGGCAACGAUGCGUAGCCGACCUGAGAGGGUGAUCGGCCACACUGGAACUGAGACACGGUCCAGACUCCUACGGGAGGCAGCAGUAGGGAAUCUUCCGCAAUGGGCGAAAGCCUGACGGAGCAACGCCGCGUGAAUGAUGAAGGUCUUCGGAUCGUAAAACUCUGUUAUUAGGGAAGAACAAAUGUGUAAGUAACUAUGCACGUCUUGACGGUACCUAAUCAGAAAGCCACGGCUAACUACGUG